AUACGGAGGGGGUUAGCGUUGUUCGGAACUACUGGGCGUAAAGCGUACGUAGGCGGACUGGAAAGUUGGGGGUGAAAUCCCGGGGCUCAACCCCGGAACUGCCUCCAAAACUUCCAAUCUAGAGAUCGAGAGAGGUGAGUGGAAUUCCAAGUGUAGAGGUGAAAUUCGUAGAUAUUUGGAGGAACACCAGUGGCGAAGGCGGCUCACUGGCUCGAUACUGACGCUGAGGUACGAAAGCGUGGGGAGCAAACAGGAUUAGAUACCCUAGUAGUCC
rnacentral:rRNA from 1 species